rnacentral:ncRNA from 1 species
AGUAGUUGGUGCCGUUUUUACGGAGAAUAGGGAAACAGGUGAAAAGCCUGUGCGGAGCUCGUCACUGUAUACAGCGUUGCAUGAUCAUAAUGUCACUGGGUCAGUCAUGGACUUGGGAAGACGAUCGGUGUGGAAAAGCUGAAAGCCAGGAGACCUGCCAGCUGCG